rnacentral:rRNA from 1 species
AACGAACGCUGGCGGCAUGCCUAACACAUGCAAGUCGAACGAGACCUCCGGGCCUAGUGGCGCACGGGUGCGUAACGCGUGGGAACCUGCCCUUAGGUUCGGAAUCCUUCCCCGUAAGGGGUGCUAAUACCGGAUAAUGUCUUCGGACCAAAGAUUUCUCGCCUUUGGAUGGGCCCGCGUUGGAUUAGCUAGUUGGUAGUGUAAAAGCCUACCAAGGCGACGAUCCAUAGCUGGUCUGAGAGGAGGAUCAGCCACACUGGGACUGAGACACGGCCCAGACUCCUACGGAAGGCAGCAGUGGGGAAUAUUGGACAAGGGGCGAAGGCCUGAUCCAGCAAUGCCGGGUGAGUGAUGAAGGCCUUAGGGUUGUGAAGCUGUUUUACCCGAGACGAUAAUGACGGUACCGGGAGAAUAAGCACCGGCUAACUCCGUG